rnacentral:rRNA from 1 species
AUUGAACGCUGGCGGAAGGCCUAACAAAUGCAAGUCGAACGAGUGGCGGACGGGUGAGUAAUGUCUGGGAAACUGCCUGAUGGAGGGGGAUAACUACUGGAAACGGUAGCUAAUACCGCAUACAAUCGGGUGUGGCCAGAUGGGAUUAGCUAGUAGGUUGGGUAAAGGCUCACCUAGGCGACUAUUCCUAGCUGGUCUGAGAGGAUGACCAUCCACCAUGGAACUGCGACACGUUCCAGACGCCUCCGGGAGUCAGCAGUGGGGAAUAUUGCACAAUUGGCGCAAGCCUGAUGCAGCCAUGCCGCGUGUAUGAAGACGGCCUUCGUGUUGUAAAGUACUUUCAGCGGGGCGGCGUUACCCGCAGCAGAAGCACCGGCUAACUACGUGCCAGCAGCCGCGGUUAUAC